CCUACGGGAGGCAGCAGUAGGGAAUAUUGCUCAAUGGGGGAAACCCUGAAGCAGCAACGCCGCGUGGAGGAUGAAGGUUUUCGGAUUGUAAACUCCUUUUGUUAGAGAAGAUAAUGACGGUAGCUAACGAAUAAGCACUGGCUAACUCCGUGCCAGCAGCCGCGGUAAUACGGAGGGUGCAAGCGUUACACGGAUUACUGGGCGGAAAGAUGGCGUCGGCGGGAUAGCAAGUAAGAUGUGAAAUCCUAGGGCUUAACCAUAGAACUGCAUUUGAAACUGUUAUUCUAGAGUGUGGGAGAGGUAGGUGGAAUGCUUGGUGUAGGGGUGAAAUGCGUAGAGAUCAAGAGGAAUACUCAUUGCGAAGGCGACCUGCUAGAACAUAACUGACGCUGAUGCGCGAAAGCGUGGGGAGCAAACAGGAUUAGAUACCCCUGUAGUC
rnacentral:rRNA from 1 species